CCUACGGGAGGCAGCAGUCGGGAAUAUUGCGCAAUGGGCGCAAGUCUGAUCCAGUAACGCCGCGUGCAGGAAGAAGGCUUUCGGGUUGUAAACUUCUUUUGUCAGGGAAGAGUAGAAGACGUAACCUGACGAUUAAGUCAGGGUUACUUACGUGCCAGCAGCGGCGGUAUAACGUAGGUGGCAAGGUUUGUCCGGAUUUAUGGGGUGUAAAGGGCGUGUAGCCGGGUUGAAAAGUCUGUUGUGAAAUCCUUCGGCUUAACCGAAGAACUGCAAUUGAAACUGUUUUUCUUGAGUACUGGAGAGGCAGAUGGAAUUCCUAGUGUAGCGGUGAAAUGCGUAGAUAUUAGGAGGAACACCAGUGGCGAAGGCGAUCUUCUGGACAGCAACUGACGGUGAGGCACGAAAGCGUGGGGAGCAAACAGGAUUAGAUACCCCUGUAGUC
rnacentral:rRNA from 1 species